ACGCUCGACACCUACGGGUGGCAGCAGUCGGGAAUAUUGCGCAAUGGAGGAAACUCUGACGCAGUGACGCCGCGUGCAGGAAGAAGGUUUUCGGAUUGUAAACUGCUUUAGACAGGGAAGAAAAAGGACAGUACCUGUAGAAUAAGCUCCGGCUAACUACGNGCCAGCAGCCGCGGUAAUCUGAGCGGGCUGGCAAGGC
rnacentral:rRNA from 1 species